rnacentral:lncRNA from 1 species
CGUAUAUAUAUAUAGACCUAUAGACCAAAGUCAAACUUUUACAUACUUUCCUAAGAGCUAAAUAGAGCAUUUUUUCUUAUUAUGGCACUUGAACCAAAAUUGCUUAAACAAAAAUCAUUCUUUAAAUGCUCAUUUAUUUACCUGCCUCUAUGUUUGCGUUGAUAUAUUAUUUGCAUGUGAAUGUGCACGUGUGUGCUUAUGCAUCUGUGUCCACGCACAUAUCUGUGUGUGUGUGUGUGUCUGUGUUUGUCUUUGGCUCCCAGAAGUCCCAUCGAGAGUGAUUUGUUUUGAAUACCGACGCCUGUUCUGGUGGAGACUUUUUUUUCCUCUUAGAGGUGUCAACAGAAGCUGUGAAAAGGUACAGAUCAGAGCAUAUAACAUCCCCUAAGGGACUUCUCGGAGGCUCACACUUCAUGUGCCAGACUCCCUUGUUUCAGGUUUUGCAGUGAGUGCUUCUCCUCUGGUUUUUGAUGGAGAGUCUUACUCGCAUCUCUGAUAAAGAUAAAAGUAGACAUCACCAUCUAAAUUCAUCAGCAGAAUGCACCGGAACACCAGGAAGGGGAGAUGGGAAGAAGUCUCAGGGGGUAGGCCUUGAAAAACCUCCUUCUCCGUCAUCCUUUCCGUCGUCCUCACGGUCCCGGCAUCGCUGUUCAUUGUUCAGCUGUAAAAUUGAGUGACGUUUGUAAACGUUUGACCCUCUCUCUCUCACCCUCCGUUUCAUAGUUCCUUAUGGCGAACAGGGAAACGAAAAGAUGCUCAUAUGUUGAGUGAGGUAGUCUGGAAGUUUGGCCCUGCUUGUAAAACACUGGCAAGGUUGCUUUUCAUCCUCAGCGGCAGGACCCCUGUCACUUCACUGUGGCCAUUGCCUUUGUUGGCUGGACCUUGGUGAACCCAGUAAUCGAGUUGCCAGGCUGGGAGGAGUCCUUCAUUUUCACUGGUCACCCAGGGUCUGCCAGGAAGAAAAAAAUGGACUUGGACUCAGAAUAAAAAGCAGCAGUCAGCCCCAAGGACUAAGGAGGGUGACGAUUAUUGUUCCCACAAGGAACCUAGAGUAG